CUUUAUGAUGUAAUGGAUUCCGUAACUUGACCUGAAGACUGUGUCAAAUUUUAUCUUAGGAAGGUCAUCAAAGAUCAGAGCUACUCACCAGUGGUUUUAAGUUAUACUAGAUGGCAGCCCUCCACACACACGUCCUUCACAACAGAUUCUUGUGUCGUGGCUCUGGAGGGAGCUCUUGGCAGCAUAGAACAACUUCUGAUGCAGAAGACAGUGCUGUGCAGGCUGUGUGCCCAGAAGAACCAGGAAUUGCCCUCCAGCCUGAUCAUGCCUGAGCAGCCUUGAGAGCUUUGAGAUGGAACAUCAGUGGAUUUGGACCUAUAGCCAGGAUGUUCAGUCUCUACUGGACAGGGACAGCCACUGAAAACUCUGACCUGAGGAGGAACAAUGAGAAGGUUUGGAGGUGACCUGCGGUGGGAUCAGAAGUGUCUGUUCCCAGAAACAGAAGUUACUAGAGCUGACAGAAGUCAAGGAGAAGGAACUGCAGCAUAAACAGCGAGUGAGAGAUCAGCAGACGUGUCAAUCUUGGUUCCAGGAUGGCACCAGCACCUGCCUGCUCUGCUGUGCAUCAUGAGCUGUCUUUCAGUCCCUGUUCAGAAGCUUGAUGGACUCCUAACCACAUUUACAAGUGGAACAGGAAAAUGUUCACCUGUAUCUUUAUGUAAAUUGUAUGUAAAAUUUAUAUAUAAAAGCUUUGUAAAACUUGUACAUCAAGGAGUAGAGAGAGUAGAUUGCUGUUUUGCAUGCAUUUCCAGACCAAUAGCAUCAUUUUCCCAAAUGUUUUACUCUUCAUUGCUACUCAACAAACAGCUAUGAUGCCUGCGACAGCUUUCAGAAUAUUUUUAUGUAUUUUAUUACUUGAAUUAAUAAUAAAUUGGCUUGUUUGAACAGUA